GACGAACGCUGGCGGCGUGCUUAACACAUGCAAGUCGAACGAUGAAGCCGGAGCUUGCUCUGGUGAAUUAGUGGCGAACGGGUGAGUAACACGUGAGUAACCUGCCCUUGACUCUGGGAUAACUGCGGGAAACUGUAGCUAAUACCGGAUACGACCCUCGGAGGCAUCUCCUGGGGGUGGAAAGAAUUUCGGUCAAGGAUGGACUCGCGGCCUAUCAGCUAGUUGGUGAGGUAAAGGCUCACCAAGGCGACGACGGGUAGCCGGCCUGAGAGGGUGACCGGCCACACUGGGACUGAGACACGGUCCAGACUCCUACGGGAGGCAGCAGUGGGGAAUAUUGCACAAUGGGCGCAAGCCUGAUGCAGCAACGCCGCGUGAGGGACGACGGCCUUCGGGUUGUAAACCUCUUUAGUAGGGAAGAAGCGAAAGUGACGGUACCUGCAGAAAAAGCACCGGCUAACUACGUGCCAGCAGCCGCCGCAG
rnacentral:rRNA from 1 species